UACGUAGGGGGCAAGCGUUGUCCGGAUUUAUUGGGCGUAAAGAGCGUGUAGGCGGUUUGGUAGGUCCGCUGUGAAAACUCGAGGCUCCACCUCGAGACGCCGGUGGAAACCAUCAGGCUAGAGUCCGGAAGAGGAGAGUGGAAUUCCUGGUGUAGCGGUGAAAUGCGCAGAUAUCAGGAAGAACACCCGUGGCGAAAGCGGCUCUCUGGAACGGUACUGACGCUGAGACGCGAAAAGCGUGGGGGAGCGAAACAGG
rnacentral:rRNA from 1 species